rnacentral:misc_RNA from 1 species
CAUUACAGAGUUCAUGCCCUUCGGGGUAGAUCUCCCACCCGUGUUAUCAUACCAUUGUUGCUUUGGCGGGCCCGCCUCGGCCACCGGCUCCGGCUGGUGAGCGCCCGCCAGAGGACCCCAAACUCUGAAAUUUAGUGUCGUCUGAGUACUAUAUAAUAGUUAAAACUUUCAACAACGGAUCUCUUGGUUCUGGCAUCGAUGAAGAACGCAGCGAAAUGCGAUAAGUAAUGUGAAUUGCAGAAUUCAGUGAAUCAUCGAAUCUUUGAACGCACAUUGCGCCCCUUGGUAUUCCGGGGGGCAUGCCUGUUCGAGCGUCAUUACAACCCUCAAGCUCUGCUUGGUAUUGGGCGUCCCCGGCAACGGGGUGCCCUAAAAUCAGUGGCGGUGCCGUCUGGCUCUAAGCGUAGUAAAUCUCUCGCUCUGGACGCCCGGUGGAUGCUCGCCAGUAACCCCCAAUUUU